rnacentral:tRNA from 1 species
GGGCGGUUAGCUCAGUUGGAUAGAGCGCGAGCCUCCGAAGCUCGAGGUCACUGGUUCGAACCCAGUACCGCUCACCA